UGAGGCAGGAGAAUCGCUUGAACCGAGGAGGUGGAGGUUGCAGUGAGCUGAGAUCGCGCCGUUGCACUCCAGCCUGGGUAACGAGAAACUCCGUCUCAAAAAAAAAAAAA
rnacentral:miRNA from 1 species